rnacentral:rRNA from 1 species
ACCGAAUGCCUAAGGUUUCCUGAGGAAGGCUCGUCCGCUCAGGGUUAGUCAGGACCUAAGCCGAGGCCGACAGGCGUAGGCGAUGGACAACAGGUUGAUACUCCUGUACCACCUCUUUAUCGUUUGAGCAAUGGAGGGACGCAGAAGGAUAGAAGAAGCGUGCGAUUGGUUGUGCACGUCCAAGCAGUUAGGCUGAUAAGUAGGCAAAUCCGCUUAUCGUAAAGGCUGAGCUGUGAUGGGGAAGCUCCUUAUGGAGCGAAGUCUUUGAUUCCCCGCUGCCAAGAAAGCUUCUAGCGAGAUAAAAGGUGCCUGUACCGCAAACCGACACAGGUAGGCGAGGAGAGAAUCCUAAGGUGUGCGAGAGAACUCUGGUUAAGGAACUCGGCAAAAUGACCCCGUAACUUCGGGAGAAGGGGUGCUUUCUUAACGGAAAGCCGCAGUGAAUAGGCCCAAGCGACUGUUUAGCAAAAACACAGCUCUCUGCGAAGCCGUAAGGCGAAGUAUAGGGGGGUGACACCUGCCCGGUGCUGGAAGGUUAAGGAGAGGGGUUAGCGUAAGCGAAGCUCUGAACUGAAGCCCCAGUAAACGGCGGCCGUAACUAUAACGGUCCUAAGGUAGCGAAAUUCCUUGUCGGGUAAGUUCCGACCCGCACGAAAGGUGUAACGAUUUGGGCACUGUCUCAACCAGAGACUCGGUGAAAUUAUAGUACCUGUGAAGAUGCAGGUUACCCGCGACAGGACGGAAAGACCCCGUGGAGCUUUACUGUAGCCUGAUAUUGAAUUUUGGUACAGUUUGUACAGGAUAGGCGGGAGCCUUUGAAACCGGAGCGCUAGCUUCGGUGGAGGCGCUGGUGGGAUACCGCCCUGACUGUAUUGAAAUUCUAACCUACGGGUCUUAUCGACCUGGGAGACAGUGUCAGGUGGGCAGUUUGACUGGGGCGGUCGCCUCCUAAAGUGUAACGGAGGCGCCCAAAGGUUCCCUCAGAAUGGUUGGAAAUCAUUCGUAGAGUGCAAAGGCAUAAGGGAGCUUGACUGCGAGACCUACAAGUCGAGCAGGGACAAAGUCGGGGCUUAGUGAUCCGGUGGUUCCGCAUGGAAGGGCCAUCGCUCAACGGAUAAAAGCUACCCCGGGGAUAACAGGCUUAUCUCCCCCAAGAGUCCACAUCGACGGGGAGUUUGGCACCUCGAUGUCGGCUCAUCGCAUCCUGGGGCUGUAGUCGGUCCCAAGGGUUGGGCUGUUCGCCCAUUAAAGCGGUACGCGAGCUGGGUUCAGAACGUCGUGAGACAGUUCGGUCCCUAUCCGUCGUGGGCGUAGGAAAUUUGAGAGGAGCUGUCCUUAGUACGAGAGGACCGGGAUGGACGCACCGCUGGUGUACCAGUUGUUCUGCCAAGGGCAUAGCUGGGUAGCUAUGUGUGGAAGGGAUAAGUGCUGAAAGCAUCUAAGCAUGAAGCCCCCCUCAAGAUGAGAUUUCCCAUAGCGUAAGCUAGUAAGAUCCCUGAAAGAUGAUCAGGUUGAUAGGUUCGAGGUGGAAGCAUGGUGACAUGUGGAGCUGACGAAUACUAAUAGAUCGAGGACUUAACCA